CACCCCAACGAUGAAAUUUAUGAAACGUUAAAAGUAGUGGACCGAUUCGUUGAUGAAUGGUUCAUUCGGAGGGGUU